rnacentral:tmRNA from 1 species
GGGGAUGAUGGGUAUCGACGAGGAAAUUGCACUUUUAAAAAAUGGUUAGGGCGUACCUAUGCGUUAAAUGGAAAAUUUAACUGCAGAUGACGAAUCUACAGCUGCCCAAGCUUGGUCAUAUCGCAUGGCACAACCUGCCUAUGCAUAUGCAUACAAUGCCUAAAGCCUCUUUUUUAAGUUUUCCUUGGUUCAACUUAAGAUAAGAGAUAAACCAAUCAAGGUGAGGCGAUCAGGAGUUCUCGAUUGGCCUGAAAGUCGAAAAACCCUUCAAUCGGUGGCUUGAGACCAAAGGUUUGCUUGUUUUCCUUCUCAAGCGUCAAAAAAAAUAAUCUAUCCCUAACAAAACAUUUUUAAAAUGCUUCUUUGGACGCGGGUUCAACUCCCGCCAUCUCCACCC